rnacentral:rRNA from 1 species
AUGAACGCUGGCGGCGUGCCUAAUACCUGCAAGUCGCGCGAACGGACGAGAAGCUUGCUUCUCUGAUGUUAGCGGCGGACGGGUGAGUAACACGUGGAUAACCUACCUAUAAGACUGGGAUAACUUCGGGAAACCGGAGCUAAUACCGGAUAAUAUUUUGAACCGCAUGGUUCAAAAGUGAAAGACGGUCUUGCUGGCACUUAUAGAUGGAUCCGCGCUGCAUUAGCUAGUUGGUAAGGUAACGGCUUACCAAGGCAACGAUGCAUAGCCGACCUGAGAGGGUGAUCGGCCACACUGGAACUGAGACACGGUCCAGACUCCUACGGGAGGCAGCAGUAGGGAAUCUUCCGCAAUGGGCGAAAGCCUGACGGAGCAACGCCGCGUGAGUGAUGAAGGUCUUCGGAUCGUAAAACUCUGUUAUUAGGGAAGAACAUAUGUGUAAGUAACUGUGCACAUCUUGACGGUACCUAAUCAGAAAGCCACGGCUAACUACGUG